UACGUAGGGCGCAAGCGUUGUCCGGAAUUAUUGGGCGUAAAGAGCUCGUAGGUGGUUUGUUACGUCUGCUGUGAAAACCCGCGGCUCAACCGUGGGCUUGCAGCUGAUACGGGCGGGCUGGAGUUCGGUAGGGGAGACUGGAAUUCCUGGUGUAGCGGUGAAAUGCGCAGAUAUCAGGAGGAACACCGGUGGCGAAGGCGGGUCUCUGGGCCGAUACUGACGCUGAGGAGCGAAAGCGUGGGGAGCGAACAGG
rnacentral:rRNA from 1 species